AAUCACGAAUAAACGAAAAAUCAAUUUAUGGCCAUAUGGGCGAUAUGAUAUAAAAAUGUUUUUUGAACCCACACGCGUCCACAAGUGCCAUUACGCUACCCCAUAGCACAGUGUUCCACCGUUCGGUUAUCCCCCACAGUUUCUGUCAUCUCCAGCUCUCUCCAUGUUGCUGCAGUGCUACUUAUAUCCGCCCUCAAUCCUCCCACAACUCCGCACAAAUCUUCAAUCCUCGCUAUUUCUUCCUACUCGCUGUCGUACUUCUCACGCUCCGCUGCUCCGUUCGAUCACCGUCAAGGCUUCAAUAUCUACUGUCAUGGACGCUGACGCUCAAGUGGCCUUGCUAAAGAAAGGCAUAGCUGAACUGUAUGACGAGUCAUCUGGUAUAUGGGAAGCCUUAUGGGGAGACCACAUGCACCACGGGUUCUACGACCCGGAUGUUAAAGUUUCGGGCUCUCUUUCCGAUCAUAGAGCUGCUCAGAUCCGAAUGAUCGAGGAGGCUCUCAGGUUCGGCAGCGUUCCAGAGGACCCAAAAAAGUGGCCUAAGAACGUGGUUGAUGUUGGCUGUGGGAUUGGAGGCAGCUCUAGGUACCUGGCAAAGAAAUUUGGGGCUCAUUGCCAAGGCAUUUCUCUCAGUCCUUUCCAAGUCCAGAGGGCCAAUUCUCUAGCAGCUGCUGAAGGACUGGCUGACAAGGCUUCCUUCCAAGUUGCAGAUGCUUUAGACCAACCAUUUCCAGAUGGGCAGUUUGAUCUGGUCUGGUCAAUGGAGAGUGGAGAACAUAUGCCUGACAAAAGAAAGUUUGUUAGUGAGUUGGCUAGAGUUGCAGCCCCAGGAGCCAGAAUUAUUAUAGUAACAUGGUGUCAUAGGAACCUCAGCCCUUCUGAAGAAUCUUUGCAGACAUGGGAGAAAGCACAUCUGAAGAAGAUAUGUGACGCUUAUUAUCUUCCUGAAUGGUGUUCUGCUGCUGAUUAUGUUGAAAUGCUCGAGUCUCUCUCUCUACAGGAUAUUAAAACAGCAGAUUGGUCUCAGAAUGUGGCCUCUUUUUGGCCAGCAGUGAUUCGCUCGGCAUUGACUUGGAAGGGCUUGACUUCACUAGUGCGUAGUGGUAAGCUUAGUUUUAUUCCUGAAAUUUCUGAUUCAUUUUCUUUUGAAUCACAUUUGAUUUCAUCUGUUCAAAUGACAAUCAAUUAUUGUGAAAAUAUUUCAGUAAUCAGGCAGAGGAAUCUAAAAAUUGAAGAAUUUUCAUAUAUUUUUUUAAAACACUUCCAUACAUUUAUCUCAAAUUAUCGUUAGUAUAACAAGUCAACAUGUUAAUUUAGUACACAGAGCCAAUAAUAAAAUAUUAUGAUUUUAGAUUUCUGUUAUUAUUUUGCUCUUCAUAUUUCAGACGAAGUAAUUAUAGUUCUCGAAUAAAGUUAUUUUCAUUUCUGUCUCUUUCUUUGCAAAUUUGUGAUCCUACCAUGAAUGAUCAUGACCAUCAGGUCUAAAAACUAUUAGAGGAGCAUUGGUGAUGCCAUUGAUGAUCCAAGGAUACCAGAAAGGUCUUAUCAAGUUUGCCAUCAUUACAUGUCGAAAGCCUGAAUAAAUUUAUAGAAAGGUUGAAUGAACAACAGAUUGCGCAGAUAUGGCAAAGAUCAAAGGAUUUGAAUAAGGAUGACACUCACUCUUUUAGAAGUUUGAGAUUAAGCUUAUCAUCAUCAUUACAAGUAAAAUUAUUGAAUAAGGUAUAGUGAUUCCAUUGAUGAUCCAACAAGGAUACAAGAAAGACAUAUUAUUAGAGAAAAGGGAAUUAAAAAAUGGUGGGGAGGGGAUAUAUUUGUCACAUUAUCUACAAUGACAAAUUAUUUACAAUCUGUUUUAGUUUCCCUUAGUCUGUACCAUGUUAUAUUGUUAUGCUUGUUGCUAAUAAUAGAUUGCUUUAGUUGCUUAAUGCUUU
rnacentral:misc_RNA from 1 species